rnacentral:rRNA from 1 species
GACGAACGCUGGCGGCGUGCUUAACACAUGCAAGUCGAACGGAAAGGCCCUGCUUUUGUGGGGUGUUCGAGUGGCGAACGGGUGAGUAACACGUGAGUAACCUGCCCUUGACUUUGGGAUAACUUCAGGAAACUGGGGCUAAUACCGGAUAGGAGCUCCUGCUGCAUGGUGGGGGUUGGAAAGUUUCGGCGGUUGGGGAUGGACUCGCGGCUUAUCAGCUUGUUGGUGGGGUAGUGGCUUACCAAGGCUUUGACGGGUAGCCGGCCUGAGAGGGUGACCGGCCACAUUGGGACUGAGAUACGGCCCAGACUCCUACGGGAGGCAGCAGUGGGGAAUAUUGCACAAUGGGCGGAAGCCUGAUGCAGCAACGCCGCGUGCGGGAUGACUGCCUUCGGGUUGUAAACCGCUUUCGCCUGUGACGAAGCGUGAGUGACGGUAAUGGGUAAAGAAGCACCGGCUAACUACGUG